CAGAGGGGGCAAGCGUUGUUCGGAAUUACUGGGCGUAAAGGGCGCGUAGGCGGCCUGUUAAGUCGAACGUGAAAUCCCCGGGCUCAACCCGGGAACUGCGUCCGAUACUGGCAGGCUUGAAUUCGGGAGAGGGAUGUGGAAUUCCAGGUGUAGCGGUGAAAUGCGUAGAUAUCUGGAGGAACACCGGUGGCGAAGGCGGCAUCCUGGACCGAUAUUGACGCUGAUGCGCGAAAGCCAGGGGAGCAAACGGGAUUAGAUACCCCGGUAGUCCUGGCCCUAAACGAUGAAUGCUUGGUGUGGCGGGUAUCGAUCCCUGCCGUGCCGAAGCUAACGCAUUAAGCAUUCCGCCUGGGGAGUACGGUCGCAAGGCUG
rnacentral:rRNA from 1 species